rnacentral:lncRNA from 1 species
UUAAAUACCCCUCUGGAGGUUGCUGAGGGUUAUUGGGUACUGAGUGAAGGUGCUAGCAGCUUCUGGGGGUUCACUACUUGUAGAGGGGGGCUUCUGAACUUGUUGUAUUAUUGUAUUCCCCUCUUUUGUGAGCUGCUGAAAGGAUGGUGUGAUGUUCCUGGACUGUUUUUCUAGGGGCACCAGUGAUGUUUUGGAGAUAAGGAGGACUGGAGGCUAUGCUUCUUAGCACAGCUGUGUUGCUGGUGGAAAGCGAAGUCUGCAAUGAGGUGUUGCACAGUGAGAAUUAGCCCAAGCCCAUUUCUUGUGGGAGCUGUCAAAGAUUUGUUUAGCAGCCACCAGGGCGUCCACAGCAUUAAACAUCUUAUCGUUUGACACCAGAGAUGGACAGGAGGGGUUAGGGUCUGUGCACCACGUGACAUCCUGUUUCAGUGCUGGUAAGUAUUCCUCUUAGCCGUGGUCAUGCCCCAGCGGGAGGCUGCUGCCAGAAAUACUGAGGAGGCCCAAAGGUCCCAUGCUCUCAGAAAAGGGAGGCAGUGACCAAG